rnacentral:rRNA from 1 species
GCCCGUCGCUACUACCGAUUGAAUGGCUCAGUGAGGCCUUGGGAUUGGCUUAGGAGGGUUGGCAACGACCCCCCAGAGCCGAAAACUUGGUCAAACUCGGUCAUUUAGAGGAAGUAAAAGUCGUAACAAGGUUUCCGUAGGUGAACCUGCGGAAGGAUCAUUACCGAGUGAGGGCCCUUUGGGUCCAACCUCCCACCCGUGUUUAUUUUACCUUGUUGCUUCGGCGGGCCCGCCUUUACUGGCCGCCGGGGGGCUUCACGCCCCCGGGCCCGCGCCCGCCGAAGACACCCUCGAACUCUGUCUGAAGAUUGAAGUCUGAGUGAAAAUAUAAAUUAUUUAAAACUUUCAACAACGGAUCUCUUGGUUCCGGCAUCGAUGAAGAACGCAGCGAAAUGCGAUACGUAAUGUGAAUUGCAAAUUCAGUGAAUCAUCGAGUCUUUGAACGCACAUUGCGCCCCCUGGUAUUCCGGGGGGCAUGCCUGUCCGAGCGUCAUUGCUGCCCUCAAGCCCGGCUUGUGUGUUGGGCCCCGUCCUCCGAUUCCGGGGGACGGGCCCGAAAGGCAGCGGCGGCACCGCGUCCGGUCCUCGAGCGUAUGGGGCUUUGUCACCCGCUCCGUAGGCCCGGCCGGCGCUUGCCGAUCAACCCAAAUUUUUAUCCAGGUUGACCUCGGAUCAGGUAGGGAUACCCGCUGAACUUAAGCAUAUCAAUAAGCGGAGGAAAAGAAACCAACAGGGAUUGCCCCAGUAACGGCGAGUGAAGCGCCAAGAGCUCAAAUUUGAAAGCUGGCUCUUUUGGAGUCCGCAUUGUAAUUUGCAGAGGAUGCUUCGGGACCUUUACACAUCUAAGUGCCCUGAACGGGACGUCAUAGAGGGUGAGAAUCCCGUAUGGAUGGGUU